rnacentral:rRNA from 1 species
UGGGGGAUAUUGCACAAUGGGCGAAAGCCUGAUGCAGCGACGCCGCGUGGGGGAUGAAGGCUUUCGGGUUGUAACCCUCUUUCGCUAUCGAACAAGGCCCGCUUAGGGUGGGUUGAGGGUAGGUGGAGAAGAAGCGCCGGCUAACUACGUGCCAGCAGCCGCGGUAAUACGUAGGGCGCGAGCGUUGUCCGGAAUUAUUGGGCGUAAAGGGCUUGUAGGCGGCUUGUUGCGCCUGCUGUGAAAACGCGGGGCUUAACUUCGCGCGUGCAGUGGGUACGGGCAGGCUUGAGUGUGGUAGGGGUGACUGGAAUUCCAGGUGUAGCGGUGGAAUGCGCAGAUAUCUGGAGGAACACCGAUGGCGAAGGCAGGUCACUGGGCCAUUACUGACGCUGAGGAGCGAAAGCAUGGGUAGCGAACAGG